GUCAACAACCUCGCCCACAAGGGGCGAGGCUUGGAAGGAAACUGACAAGCCUUAGUUGACAAGGGGGCUUUGGAGAAAUUCAAUGCAGAAGUUAAGAGAGAGAAAUACAUACACACCUACGGAUAUUCCGCACGUCCGUGGCAACUGUG
rnacentral:sRNA from 30 species